rnacentral:piRNA from 1 species
CUGGUGCUCCUUUUGAGAAAUUACAUUCA